rnacentral:rRNA from 1 species
CCUACGGGUGGCAGCAGUGAGGAAUCUUGGUCAAUGGGCGCGAGCCUGAACCAGCCACGUCGCGUGAGGGAUGAAGGUUCUCUGGAUCGUAAACCUCUUUUAUAAGGACAUAAAGUGUGGGACGUCUCCUAUUUUGUAUGUACCUUAUGAAUAAGGAUCGGAUAACCCCGUGCCAGCAGUCGCGGUAAUACGGAGGUUCCGAUCGUUAUCCGGAUUUAUUGGGUUUAAAGGGUGCGUAGGCGGCCUAUUAAGUAAGCGGUGAAAGUUUGUGGCUCAACCAUAGAAUUGCCGUUGAAACUGGGGGGCUUGAGUAUGUUUGAGGCAGGCGGAAUGCGUGGUGUAGCGGUGAAAUGCGUAGAUAUCACGCAGAACACCGAUUGCGAAGGCAGCCUGCCAAGCCAUGACUGACGCUGAUGCACGAAAGCGUGGGGAUCAAACAGGAUUAGAUACCCGUGUAGUC